rnacentral:rRNA from 1 species
AAGAAAGUGAAUAAGGGCGUACGGUGGAUGCCUAGGCUCUCAGAGGCGAAGAAGGACGUGAUAAGCUGCGAUAAGCUACGGUGAGGUGCAAAUAACCGUUAAUCCGUAGAUUUCCGAAUGGGGCAACCCUUCCGGCUGAAGGCCGGAAACUCCGAGUAAUCGGAGGGCGAACCCGCUGAACUGAAACAUCUAAGUAGGCGGAGGAGAAGAAAACAAGAGUGAUUCCCUGAGUAGUGGCGAGCGAAAGGGGAACAGCCCAAACCAUGUUAGUUUAGGCUAAUGUGGGGUUGUAGGACUACGACAUAUUGUAUAUAUAAGAAGUGGAAGCUAACUGGAAAGUUACACCAAAGGGGGUGAGAGUCCUGUACACGUAUUUAUAUAUAUGAUUAGUAGUAUCCUGAGUAAGGCGGGACACGUGAAAUCCUGUCUGAAACUGCGAGGACCAUCUCGUAAGGCUAAAUACUCCUGAGAGACCGAUAGUGAACCAGUACCGUGAGGGAAAGGUGAAAAGCACCCCGAACAGGGGAGUGAAAUAGUUCCUGAAACCGUGCGCUUACAAACGGUUGGAGUCACGCCAAUGGCGUGAUGACAGCGUGCCUUUUGCAUAAUGAGCCUACGAGUUGCUCCUCACUAGCGAGGUUAAGGUUUUAAGAACCGGAGCCGAAGCGAAAGCGAGUCUGAAUAGGGCGCUAGAGUUAGUGGGGGCAGACGCGAAACCUUGUGAUCUACCCAUGGCCAGGUUGAAGUUCAGGUAACACUGAAUGGAGGACCGAACCAGUAAACGUUGAAAAGUUUUUGGAUGAGCUGUGGGUAGGGGUGAAAGGCCAAUCAAACUGGGAAAUAGCUCGUACUCCCCGAAAUGCAUUUAGGUGCAGCCUCGUGUUAGUGUCAUAGAGGUAGAGCUACUGAUAAGGCUAGAGGGCUUCACCGCCUAUCAACCCUUGACAAACUCCGAAUGCUAUGACAUGAUUCACGGGAGUGAGGCUACGGGUGCUAAGGUCCGUGGCCGAAAGGGAAAGAACCCAGACCAUCAGCUAAGGUCCCCAAAUGUAUGCUAAGUUGAAGAAACGUGGUCCGACUGCAGAGACAGCUAGGAUGUUGGCUUGGAAGCAGCCAUUCAUUUAAAGAGUGCGUAACAGCUCACUAGUCGAGCGGUUGGGCGUGGAUAAUAAUCGGGCAUCAAGCAUACUACCGAAGCUAUGGAUUUCAUAGAAAUAUGGACUGGUAGGGGAGCAUUCCAGUGCCGCAGAAGCAGUAUCGUGAGGUAUUGUGGAGGAGCUGGAAAAGCAAAUGUAGGCAUAAGUAACGAUAAAACAGGUGAGAAACCUGUUCGCCGUAAGACUAAGGUUUCCUGAUCAACGUUAAUCGGAUCAGGGUUAGCCGGGGCCUAAGGUGUACCCGAAUGGGGAAACUAAUGGACAGCAGGUUAAUAUUCCUGCGCUUGCAUAACACUAAAAAGUGACGGAGUGAUGUAGCUGCUAGGUGCUGACGGAAUAGCACCUUGAGCCUAGCCUUCGGGCGAAGCGAAGCAGUGAGUUUGCUUCCAAGAAAAGCGAAGUUAUGCAACUCGUACCGUAAACCGACACAGGUAGUCGAGGAGAGCAUCCUCAGGCGCUCGAGUGAAUCAUGGCUAAGGAACUAGGCAAAAUCGACCUGUAACUUAGGGAGAAAGGUCUCCCGAUGCAAAUCGGGACGCAGUUAAAAGGCCCAGGCGACUGUUUAACAAAAACACAGGACUCUGCAAAUUCGAAAGAAGAAGUAUAGGGUCUGACACCUGCCCGGUGCCGGAAGGUUAAGAGGGGAUGUCAUCACGCUUCGGUGUGAGAAGCAUUGAAUUGAAGCCCCGGUAAACGGCGGCCGUAACUAUAACGGUCCUAAGGUAGCGAAAUUCCUUGUCGGGUAAGUUCCGACCUGCACGAAUGGUGUAACGAUCUGGGCACUGUCUCGGCCAUGAGCUCGGUGAAAUUGUAGUUCCGGUGAAGAUGCCGGGUACCCGCAACGGGACGGAAAGACCCCGUGAACCUUUACUAUAGCUUAACAUUGAUUUUGGGUAUGUGAUGUGUAGGAUAGGACGGAGACUAUGAAGCGGCCUCGCUAGGGGUUGUGGAGUCACCCUUGAAAUACGUCCCUUUACCUAUCUGGAGUCUAACCACGCCAACGGCGUGGGACAUUGUUUGGUGGGUAGUUUGACUGGGGUGGUCGCCUCCAAAAGCGUAACGGAGGCUUCCAAAGGUACCCUCAUGACGAAUGGUAACCGUCAGAAGAGUGCAUUGGCACAAGGGUGCUUGACUGUGAGACCGACAAGUCGAUCAGGUAGGAAACUAGGGCAAAGUGAUCCGGUGGUUCCGUAUGGAAGGGCCAUCGCUCAAAGGAUAAAAGGUACUCCGGGGAUAACAGGCUGAUCGCUCCCAAGAGCUCAUAUCGACGGAGCGGUUUGGCACCUCGAUGUCGGCUCGUCACAUCCUGGGGCUGGAGAAGGUCCCAAGGGUUGGGCUGUUCGCCCAUUAAAGUGGCACGCGAGCUGGGUUCAGAACGUCGUGAGACAGUUCGGUCCCUAUCUGUUGUGGGCGUUGGAGAUUUGAGAGGACCUGACACUAGUACGAGAGGACCGUGUUGGACAGACCUCUAGUGCACCUGUUGUGGCGCCAGCUGCAGAGCAGGGUAGCUAUGUCUGGCAGAGAUAAGCGCUGAAAGCAUCUAAGCGCGAAGCUCCCCUCAAGAUGAGAUCUCCCUUAAGGGUCGUUGGAGACUACGACGUUGAUAGGCUGUAGGUGUAAAGGCGGUAACGUCAAAGCCGAGCAGUACUAAUUACCCGUGAGCUUUCAUUA